CACCUACUCCCUCUGUUCGGAAUUACUUGUCUCGAAUAUGGAUGUAUCUAGAACUAAAAUACGUCUAGAUACAUCCAUUUUCGCGACAAGUAAUUCCGAACGGAGGGAGUACAAC
rnacentral:pre_miRNA from 1 species